rnacentral:tRNA from 1 species
GUUAUUUUGGCAGAUGAUAUGCAUUAAAUUUAGGAUUUAAUUAUAUAGGGAGUCUAUAAAUAAUA